rnacentral:rRNA from 1 species
UAGGGAAUCUUCGGCAAUGGGGGGAACCCUGACCGAGCAACGCCGCGUGAGUGAAGAAGGUUUUCGGAUCGUAAAGCUCUGUUGUUAAGGAAGAACGAGUGUGAGAAUGGAAAGUUCAUACUGUGACGGUACUUAACCAGAAAGGGACGGCUAACUACGUGCCAGCAGCCGCGGUAAUACGUAGGUCCCGAGCGUUGUCCGGAUUUAUUGGGCGUAAAGCUAGCGCAGGCGGUUAGAUAAGUCUGAAGUUAAAGGCAGUGGCUCAACCAUUGUAGGCUUUGGAAACUGUUUAACUUGAGUGCAGAAGGGGAGAGUGGAAUUCCAUGUGUAGCGGUGAAAUGCGUAGAUAUAUGGAGGAACACCGGUGGCGAAAGCGGCUCUCUGGUCUGUAACUGACGCUGAGGCUCGAAAGCGUGGGGAGCGAACAGG